AGAGGUUGCCUGUGGCAUGUUCGCAUCCCUUGUGACGCACAAUCACGGUCAACCUCUCU
rnacentral:pre_miRNA from 1 species